UACGUAGGCGGAUUUGCAAGUCAGAAGUGAAAGCCCAGGGCUUAACCUUGGAAUUGCUUUUGAAACUGUAAGUCUGGAAUCCGGUAGAGGUUGGCGGAACUCCGAGUGUAGAGGUGAAAUUCGCAGAUAUUCGGAAGAACACCAGUGGCGAAGGCGGCCAACUGGACCGGUAUUGACGCUGAGGUACGAAAGCGUGGGUAGCAAACAGGAUUAGAUACCCUGGUAGUCC
rnacentral:rRNA from 1 species